GUUUCCUGUUUGUUCUACAGUUUAAACGUUGAACUUCAUGUGACUUCAGUGACUUUGAGCUUUGAGGUGCUUCCUGUUUCCUUUAGCGGAUGUGACAUGUGGUUAAGACGAUUCUAUAUGAGCUGAUGAUUUUCACUUCACUGGGCUCAGGUUCAGCCUCCUGAGGUGGUCAAGAGCGACUCUGUUUCUCCUGAGGUGGUCAAGAGCGACUCUGUUUCUCCUGAGGUGGUCAAGAGCGACUCUGUUUCUCCUGAGGUGGUCAAGAGCGACUCUGUUUCUCCUGAGGUGGUCAAGAGCGACUCUGUUUCUCCUGAGGUGGUCAAGAGCGACUCUGUUUCUCCUCGGAGAGAAGAGGACGAAAAGGCUUCAUCAAAUGAGCACAGAAACAUUUAGAAGUUGUGUGAAGUUCUCCUGAUUUCAACAAAAAGACGACUUCCUUUUGACUGACCGACUGUUUGUGUCUCGCUCCUUCUGAUGCACAGACGCUACGAGAGACGCUCAGUUUAAUGUCCCAAAGAAAAAUAAUGAAAACCCGGAAAUUUACAUCAUUUUAUAAAAAAAAACAAAAAACAAAAACGGACGGCCAGGACACGACGUGAAAAAUGGACAUGUCCGGGGAAAAACAGACGUUUGGUCACCCUGUGAAAAUAAGUUUGUGAACGGUCAAGUUCAGGAUUAUUUUUAUGAACCUGUUUUUCUUUUGUUCAAAACCUGUAACAGAUAAUAUUGGAAAUAACAGUGUAAUGACUAAAGUAUUAGUGUGUGUGGUCAUAGAGCAGAAGCAGCACAGUUCAGUGUAAACUGUUGUUCACGGUCACUCAUGACUUUUUCUGUCCUUACAGAAUUAAAGUGUCUCUGUUCCACCAAA